rnacentral:ncRNA from 1 species
UCACGAUAACGGCAAACUUGUCGAAAGAUAAGGACGCAAAGCUACAGGGCCUUCUUGACGAACGUCAAUGGCAGCCAGCUACCGAA